AAUGGACUAUGCAUGGCACGGCCCGUAAUAGUACUAAACGGGCUGUGCCUAGCAUGGUUCAUAACGAGCUUAAACAAGCUAUGCCAGACAAGGUUUGUUUGAAUUUUUUUUUUAAAAAAAAAAUCACCCAUUAGGCCUGCGGGACUGACAGGCUAUGUGCCAUGCCUGGCACAGCCCUCCAGACCUCAGACUUAGGGCCAUGCCAGGUCAGGGUUUGGGCUAAAUGGGCUGUGCCUAGCAUGGCCUAUUUGGACCCUGGCCCGGUGGGCCUCGACUAGGCUGUGCUAGGCACGAUCCAAUGCCCAUGAUUGCUCUUUGGAGAUGCCUGCUAUUCAUGAAGAGACUCAAUAUCUUUGCUUAGUUAGCACUUAAGAAUAUAAUUAUUAUUAUGUAAAACUUCAGAAGAGAGGAUGAUGUAGACUUUCUAUUUGGUAUUUUAUCGGUAG
rnacentral:lncRNA from 1 species